AUACGGAGGGUGCAAGCGUUACUCGGAAUCACUGGGCGUAAAGGAUGCGUAGGCGGAUAAUCAAGUCAAAAGUGAAAUCCCACGGCUUAACCGUGGAACUGCUUUCGAAACUGGUUAUCUAGAAUAUGGAAGAGGCAGAUGGAAUUAGUGGUGUAGGGGUAAAAUCCGUAGAGAUCACUAGGAAUACCGAUUGCGAAGGCGAUCUGCUGGGACAUUAUUGACGCUGAGGCAUGAAAGCGUGGGGAGCAAACAGGAUUAGAAACCCCUGUAGUCC
rnacentral:rRNA from 1 species